rnacentral:rRNA from 1 species
CCUACGGGUGGCAGCAGUAGGGAAUAUUGCUCAAUGGGGGAAACCCUGAAGCAGCAACGCCGCGUGGAGGAUGAAGGUUUUCGGAUUGUAAACUCCUUUUGUUAGAGAAGAUAAUGACGGUAUCUAACGAAUAAGCACCGGCUAACUCCGUGCCAGCAGCCGCGGUAAUACGGAGGGUGCAAGCGUUACUCGGAAUCACUGGGCGUAAAGAGUGCGUAGGCGGGAUAGCAAGUCAGAUGUGAAAUCCUAGGGCUUAACCUUAGUACUGCAUUUGAAACUGUUAUUCUAGAGUGUGGGAGAGGUAUGCGGAAUGCGUGGUGUAGCGGUGAAAUGCAUAGAUAUCACGAGGAACACUGAUUGCGAAGGCGACAUACUGGCGCCCAACUGACGCUGAAGCACGAAAGCGUGGGUAGCGAACAGGAUUAGAUACCCUAGUAGUC